GACGUCUACCGGCAAGGGGCCAUCCCCACCUGGUACCUGACGGACAAGAAGCGAGAGAGGAUGCAGAUCAAGAGGAACACACAGAGUGCUCCCGCGGCCACCCAGGGUGCUGUCCCCGCCACCAGCAGGAACACGGCAUUCCCCACCUAUCACCUCCCCCCACCCAACGCCCCAAACAAUACAAUGACCACAGAAAAAGCGGAGAAUGGGCAGGACCCGCUCAUAAGGUUAGAGAGUAGACAGGAGCCCAGACCAGGGCCCAUGAAACUGAGGCCCCCUGUUUAUCACAAUGGCCCCUCAAAAGCAGGGUAUGUUGACUUUGAAAAUGGCCAGUGGGCCACAGAUGACAUCCCGGAUGACUUGAAUAGCAUCCACGCGGCACCGGGUGAGUUCCGAGCCAUCAUGGAGAUGCCCUCCUUCUACAGCCACGGCUUGCCCCGGUGCUCGCCCUACAAGAAGCUGACCGAGUGCCAGCUGAAGAACCCCGUCAGCGGGCUGCUGGAGUACGCGCAGUUCGCCAGCCAGACCUGCGAGUUCCACCUCAUCGAGCAGAGCGGGCCCCCCCACGAGCCCCGGUGAGCCCCUGCCGGACGCGCCUAGGGCCGGACCAACAAGCCUCGGCCGACUGUGAGCGGUGCCCUUCGGUGGCCCUGUCCCCCUCUUCCUUUUUGGCCUUUGGCUGAAUCAUCCUCCUUUGGCCCAUUCUCUGGGCAGUGGGCCUGGAGCCACCAGAAUCCUGGCCGAGCCAAGGGGGAGACGGACUCUUGGCUGAACUGAGGCUUCCUUAGAAAUCUCGGCUUUCAGGCACCGGGUCUCGCCUGCCCCUGAGGCCCUAGGCCAGGACCUAACUCCCUCCCCACCUCCCCCUCGAGUUGGGUUCCUGGACCAGGUACAGGAACAGGACCGCCAAGGGUGGGCCACACCAGGAUAAGGGCGUGUGCAGAGAGCCCAGGUGCACCCCCUCAACUGGGAGGCAGGCCCGCCCGCCCCCCCACCUGCCUGCUGAGGGUGGUAGUCUAACUUUAAACACCUCCUCUGCACAGAGAGGCGGGCUGGCACUGCUGAGAAGCACCUGAGGUUCCUUCAGACAGCUGGCGGGCCUUACACUCUUGGCCCCGUAGGCCAGGACAGACAGACAGGUGGGCCCAGAAAGGACCUGGAGCCAUUGACUCAAGUCCGAGUGGCUGCAAGCCGCUGCUGGACAGAACCAGAGAGAAUGGGAAACAUGCCACCAACUUUUAUAGUUACAUGUCAGGUGCAGGGACACGUCCUGAGCAAUGUCCUGUUAGGUGAUUUUGUCACUGUACCAACCUAGAGUGUGCUUACACAAGCCUACGACAGCCACAGGUCACUGGGCAGUAUUACCUUGUGGGUCCACUGUUGUGUUACGUGGUCCAUCAUCGGCCCAAACGUCCUUGUGGCGUGGGACAGCGUUUACACGGCUGCUUUCCAGACUGAGGUGCCCCCUUUGGCCCUUGGUCCUCCUCUGACCGUCUUAAUGGCCCCAAGUUGGCGUUACAGGGGAGCUCUUAGGAAGAGGGGUAUGUCUGUCCAGAAGCUGGCAGGGCCAUGACGGUUUUGUCUCUGUUUGCGACAGAGGCUGAGUGGCUGUCAUCCUUUUCCCACCAGCCCCCUUCGCCAGAGUUGGGGGACAGCCAGGAGUUUUGUGGUUAAAUAAUUUUUUGACCUUCAGCUAUAGGACAUCGGUGCCGUGUUAAGUACUUCAGAAGACCUGGGAGAUAAGAAAUCUGACCUCCUUUUCUAGAUGAAACCCAGACUGAGCGAAGAGCUAAGGAAAAUAUAGAAGCUUGACUACAAGAGGCCUAGGCUGGGUCUAGCAGCCCGUAACAAAUGCUUUUGGUUUUCUUUAUAACAAGGGAAAUUCCUUCACCUCAGGCUCGGAGGAAGUUGAGAGGUCUAGCAUGACUUAACACACGUUUUAAGAGUGAAUUAUCUUUGGGGGUAACUUAGGGACAAACAUCCCUGGAGGCUGCCCCGUCCUCCUCUGCCCCCUUCCCCAGCCUGCCCCUCGUCCUCCCACAUCCUCCCCUUCUCCCUCCACCCAGUGGGGGCCCCGAUGAGCGGCAGUGUGUGGAGAGCAGGAGACUGAUACGGACACACCUCUGCUCUCUUUCUUCUUUCUUUCCUUUUGCAGUGCUGGGGAUCGAGCCCAGGCUCUAAUGCCAUUGAGCCACACCCCCCAGGCCUUCUCUAUUUUUUAGGACCUUCCUGAGGAGGCCAGUCCACCUCGUUUGCUUUAGGAUGAAGGCUUUUGGGUUGCUGUCGAGACUAUAAUGGUGAUUUUAGCCCGUGGCUUAUUGCACACAACUUAUUAUAUUUAAGGCAUGGGGGGGUCUCCUGUGAGCAAGGUUCCUAUCACCCACUGUGGUGGCUGUGCAUGCUUCACUGACCUAUGGGGACAGAGUCACUGGCUGCUCUGUUCCCUAGAAGAACGGACAAGCUGCCAGGUGCACACCUAUAAUCCCAGUGGUUUGGGAAGCCGAGGCAGGCGGAUUGAGAGUUCAAAGCCAGCCUCGGCAACUUAGUGAGGCCCUGACCAACUCAGCAAGACCUGUCUCUAAAUAAAAUGCAGAAAAGGGCUGAGGGUGUGGCUCAGUGGUUGAGUGUCCCCGAUUCAGUCCCUGGUACCAAAAAAAAAGAAGGGACAGGCCAAGCCUCCAAACGGACAGAAAUUCCUGGCCUACCCUCCAAGUCCGCUCCGUGGGGUGGGACACGCGGGAGGGAGGUGUCUUUGGGAAGAGCAGAGAGGUGGCCCGGCUUGGCUUCUCAUGUCUGACUGCCUUCCGCCAAGGUUUAAGUUCCAGGUUGUCAUCAGUGGCCGCGAGUUCCCCCCGGCGGAAGCUGGCAGCAAGAAGGUGGCCAAGCAGGAUGCAGCUCUGAAAGCCAUGACGAUCCUACUGCGGGAGGCCAAAGCCAAGGACAGUGGGAAGCCAGAGGACUUGUCCUGCUGUUCCCCAGAAAAAGAGCCAGAGGAGGUAGGGACCUGCCCAAGGUGGGUCUCGUCUCUCAGGUCUCAAGGGGUAGCAUCUUAACUGGCCCCUGGAAGCGAUCCUGGUCUAAAAGCCCUGGUCUCUAGUCCCAAGACAGCUUCCCGCCUCCUCUGCCCACCUCCAACCCGCUUUCCUCUCCUUCCCAGCCCCCCUCCUGCCCCCUUGAGCCUAGCUGGAGGUGCAGAACGUCAAGCCUGGAAGAGGCUGAAGCAGUACGGUGCUCCGUCUCCACUUUGGGCAGAUAGCUUACUCUCUCCUGCCAUGCCCGGGAAGGCCACCCUUAACACUGACGGAUCCGAGAGUCCCCGUCCGUCCCUUCUGCGGAGGCGGAGCAGCCGGCCUGGUCUCAGUUCCUCGUGCUUUAUUCUGUCUUCUCGUCUCACUUUCUCCAGACAGCGGAGCCCCAGCCCACCGCCACCUCAACGUCGUCCCUGUUUUCUGGGAAGAGCCCCGUCACUACCUUGCUGGAGUGUAUGCACAAACUGGGCAACUCCUGUGAAUUCCGGCUCCUGUCCAAAGAAGGCCCUGCCCAUGACCCCAAGUACGUCCGGGGAGGGACGGUGUCUCCAAGAGGCUUUCUCAGAGACAGGCUCGUCUUCCUCUUCAGAGACGGCAGCUUAUUGUCUCUGAGCAGUUUCUUCUGCUGCAUGUGGAAGGGCCUUCAGGACCUGGUUGCUGCUUGGAAAGCAGAGAAGCUGGAAUCGGGAGUCCAGAGGGACCAAGGGCAAGGAGGGGUUGGUAGCGUGGGGGUCACUGUUGGUGGGACAGAAAGGUCCAGGGCCUUGGUGGGCCUGAGCAGCUCUCUGAGGGUCUGUGGACUCACAUAUCCGAGAGAAGGGCUCUGGAGGAGGGGAAAGUUUUGCAUGUUGAAAGUGGGGAGCCAGGCUGAGAGACCCGGGCAGCAGGUGGGCGAGGGGCAGCGGCUAUGCAAGGCAGAAGUGACUAUAGAAGGUGAUGUGCACAAGAAGUCGCAUGUAGUAGAGAACGUUAGCAAGUUGGGCCGGUCUCUGCAAUCACAACCUUCCUCCCUCUGGUCAGGUUCCAGUACUGUGUGGCGGUGGGAGCCCAAACCUUCCCUACCGUGAGUGCUCCCAGCAAGAAAGUGGCAAAGCAGAUGGCCGCAGAGGAGGCCAUGAAGGCCCUGCACGAGGAGGCCACCAACUCGGUUGAUGACCAGGUGGGCGUUUCUCCUGCUGAAACACCGUGGGGCGAUCUAGCAACGGAGCAGGUCAGGGUGGCCCACGUUUCUUUGAAUGUUCAUGGCUCCUUUUUGUUUGGCUGAUUCUCCUUUAGUCUGGAGGUGCCAACUCAGAAUCACUUGACAACCUGGACUCUGGGAUGCCCAACAGGAUCAGGAGGAUCGGUGAGCUCGUCAGAUACCUGAACACCAACCCCGUGGGCGGCUUGUUAGAGUACGCCCGCUCCCAUGGCUUUGCUGCUGAGUUCAAGUUGGUGGACCAGUCUGGACCCCCUCAUGAGCCCAAGUGAGUGUUCCAGACCCAGCUCCUGCUGGGUGUCAUCAGGUAGGGGUGGUGUGUCGUCCAGGGAAAGAAAGGAUGUGCGCCGCUGUGAAGGACAGGGAAGGCAGGUGAUGAAACAAGCCA
rnacentral:lncRNA from 1 species